rnacentral:rRNA from 1 species
GAUGAACGCUGGCGGCGUGCCUUAUACAUGCAAGUCGAGUGGGUUUAGACCCACGGCAAACGGGUGAGUAACACGUAGGUACUUUCCUUGUCACAGGAAUAACCCUCCGAAAGGAGGGCUAAUACCUGAUGUGACCGCAAGAUUAAAGGGUAUCCGCAAGGAUUACCGGACAAGAAGAGGCCUGCGGCCUAUCAGCUAGUUGGCGGGGUAAAUGCCCACCAAGGCUAUGACGGGUAGCUGGUCUUAUGAGGAUGAUCAGUCACAUGGGCACUGAGACACGGGCCCAACUCCUACGGGAGGCAGCAGUAGGGAAUUUUGCGCAAUGGGCGAAAGCCUGACGCAGCGACGCCGCGUGCGGGAUGAAGGCCUUCGGGUCGUAAACCGCUUUUAUAAGGGACGAACUUUGACGGUACCUUAUGAAUAAGAGGUUGCUAACUCUGUG